AGAGUUUGAUCCUGGCUCAGGAUGAACGCUAGCUACAGGCUUAACACAUGCAAGUCGAGGGGAAACGGCAUUGAGUGCUUGCACUCUUUGGACGUCGACCGGCGCACGGGUGAGUAACGCGUAUCCAACCUUCCCAUUACUGUGGGAUAACCUGCCGAAAGGCAGACUAAUACCGCAUAGUCUUCGAUGACGGCAUCAGAUUUGAAGUAAAGAUUUAUCGGUAAUGGAUGGGGAUGCGUCUGAUUAGCUUGUUGGCGGGGUAACGGCCCACCAAGGCAACGAUCAGUAGGGGUUCUGAGAGGAAGGUCCCCCACAUUGGAACUGAGACACGGUCCAAACUCCUACGGGAGGCAGCAGUGAGGAAUAUUGGUCAAUGGACGGAAGUCUGAACCAGCCAAGUAGCGUGCAGGAAGACGGCCCUAUGGGUUGUAAACUGCUUUUGUAUGGGGAUAAAGUUAGGGACGUGUCCCUAUUUGCAGGUACCAUACGAAUAAGGACCGGCUAAUUCCGUGCCAGCAGCCGCGGUAAUACGGAAGGUCCAGGCGUUAUCCGGAUUUAUUGGGUUUAAAGGGAGCGUAGGCUGGAGAUUAAGUGUGUUGUGAAAUGUAGACGCUCAACGUCUGAAUUGCAGCGCAUACUGGUUUCCUUGAGUACGCACAACGUUGGCGGAAUUCGUCGUGUAGCGGUGAAAUGCUUAGAUAUGACGAAGAACUCCGAUUGCGAAGGCAGCUGACGGGAGCGCAACUGACGCUUAAGCUCGAAGGUGCGGGUAUCAAACAGGAUUAGAUACCCUGGUAGUCCGCACAGUAAACGAUGGAUGCCCGCUGUUGGUACCUGGUAUCAGCGGCUAAGCGAAAGCAUUAAGCAUCCCACCUGGGGAGUACGCCGGCAACGGUGAAACUCAAAGGAAUUGACGGGGGCCCGCACAAGCGGAGGAACAUGUGGUUUAAUUCGAUGAUACGCGAGGAACCUUACCCGGGCUUGAAUUGCAGAGGAAGGAUUUAGAGAUAAU
rnacentral:rRNA from 1 species